rnacentral:rRNA from 1 species
GUCCACGCCGUAAACGAUGAGCACUAGGUAGCGGCCGGAUCCGACCGGUCGCUGCUGACGGAAAUCCAUUAAGUGCUCCGCCUGGGGAGUAUGGUAGCAAGGCUGAAACUCAAAGGAAUUGACGGGGGCUCACACAAGCGGUGGAGGAUGUUGCUCAAUUCGAAGCAACGCGAAGAACCUUACCAGGGUUUGACAUGCUGGAAUUAACCCCAUGAAAGUGGGGGGAUUGCCUUCGGGUGUAACCAGUACAGGUGUUGCAUGGCUGUCGU